AUUCCAGCUCCAAUAGCGUAUAUUAAAGUUGUUGCAGUUAGAACGCUCGUAGUCGGAUUUCGGGGCGGGUCGACCGGUCUGCCGAUGGGUACGCACUGGCCGACGCGUCCUUCCUUCCGGAGACCGUCUCACUCUUAACUGAGCGGAGGCGGGAGACGGAACGUUUACUUUGAAAAAAUCAGAGUGUUUCAAGCAGGCAGCUCGCUCUUGCAUGGAUUAGCAUGGGAUAAUGAAAUAGGACUUUGGUGCUAUUUUGUUGGUUUCGAACACCGAAGUAAUGAUGAGAAGGGACAGUCAGGGGCAUUUGUAUUCGACCGAGAGAGGUGAAAUUCUCAGACCAGUCGAAGACAAACUACUGCGAAAGCAUCUGCCAGGGAUGUUUUCAUUA
rnacentral:rRNA from 1 species